rnacentral:rRNA from 1 species
GACGAACGCUGGCGGCGUGCUUAACACAUGCAAGUCGAACGAUGAAGCCGGAGCUUGCUCUGGUGAAUUCGUGGCGAACGGGUGAGUAACACGUGAGUAACCUGCCCUUGACUCUGGGAUAACUGCGGGAAACUGUAGCUAAUACCGGAUACGACCCUCGGAGGCAUCUCCUGGGGGUGGCAAGAAUUUCGGUCAAGGAUGGACUCGCGGCCUAUCAGCUAGUUGGUGAGGUAAAGGCACACCAAGGCGACGACGGGUAGCCGGCCUGAGAGGGUGACCGGCCACACUGGGACUGAGACACGGCCCAGACUCCUACGGGAGGCAGCAGUGGGGAAUAUUGCACAAUGGGCGCAAGCCUAAUGCAGCAACGCCGCGUGAGGGAUGACGGCCUUCGGGUUGUAAACCUCUUUUAGCAGGGAAGAAGCGAAAGUGACGGUACCUGCAGAAAAAGCACCGGCUAACUACGUGCCAGCAGCCGCGGUAA